rnacentral:rRNA from 1 species
UACGAGAGGCCCAAACGUUAUUCGGAAUUACUGGGCUUAAAGAGUUCGUAGGCGGCAUGAAAAGUAGGGUGUGAAAGCCCUCGGCUCAACCGAGGAAUUGCGCUCUAAACUGUCGUGCUCGAGGAAUCUAGAGGUGAGCGGAACUGAUGGUGGAGCGGUGAAAUGCGUUGAUAUCAUCAGGAACACCGGAGGCGAAGGCGGCUCACUGGCCCGAUACUGACGCUGAGGCACGAAAGCGUGGGGAGCAAACAGG